UAAAACCUUUAUUUGGCAGGUAUUAGAUUAAUUAUAUUGUAGAAGUAAAUAAGUGAUCAAAUUAGCUGGGGAAGUGGUUUUAAAGAAUUAAAAUUUUAAAAUACUUAAACUUAGUCUAAAUGAUCUUAUAUGUAAGAGUUAUUGGAUAA
rnacentral:rRNA from 1 species